GAAUCAGAGGGAGGAGCUGUAGACAGAGAGGGAAGUGAAAGUAGGAAGUCAGACUUGUCAGACUGCCAGACGCCAUUUUACAGCUCGACAGGAGGAGAACAACAGGACUGAAGAAGAUGAGUGAUUUAAAAGAUGAGGAAGAGGACAAAUCUUCAGUCUCCAGCGGUCUGUCUCUGAAGAGUGACCGGUCUAUGGGCAUCCUUCCUCCAGUCUUCGGUAAUGAACCUGGACCCUCAGACACAAAACAGAGAGCAGAGUCUACGGUCUCCAUGUGGUCUCUGAAG